AUUGAACGCUGGCGGCAUGCCUUACACAUGCAAGUCGAACGGCAGCACGGGAGCAAUCCUGGUGGCGAGUGGCGAACGGGUGAGUAAUAUAUCGGAACGUGCCCGGUCGUGGGGGAUAACGUAGCGAAAGCUACGCUAAUACCGCAUACGAUCUACGGAUGAAAGCGGGGGAUCGCAAGACCUCGCGCGAUUGGAGCGGCCGAUAUCAGAUUAGGUAGUUGGUGAGGUAAAGGCUCACCAAGCCAACGAUCUGUAGCUGGUCUGAGAGGACGACCAGCCACACUGGAACUGAGACACGGUCCAGACUCCUACGGGAGGCAGCAGUGGGGAAUUUUGGACAAUGGGCGCAAGCCUGAUCCAGCAAUGCCGCGUGCAGGAUGAAGGCCUCGGUUGUAACUAGCUUUGUUACGG
rnacentral:rRNA from 1 species